rnacentral:rRNA from 1 species
UACGUAGGGUGCAAGCGUUGUCCGGAAUUAUUGGGCGUAAAGAGCGUGUAGGCGGCCCGAUUAGUCCGCUGUGAAAGUCCAGGGCUCAACCCUGGAAUGCCGGUGGAUACUGUCGGGCUAGAGUCCGGAAGGGGCGAGUGGAAUUCCUGGUGUAGCGGUGAAAUGCGCAGAUAUCAGGAGGAACACCAAUGGCGAAGGCAGCUCGCUGGGACGUGACUGACGCUGAGACGCGAAAGCGUGGG